rnacentral:rRNA from 1 species
UACGGAAGGUCCGGGCGUUAUCCGGAUUUAUUGGGUUUAAAGGGAGCGCAGGCCGGUUAUCAAGCGUGACGUGAAAUGCCGCGGCUCAACCGUGGAAGUGCGUCGCGAACUGGUUUCCUUGAGUGCGUGCGACGUUGGCGGAAUUCGUAGUGUAGCGGUGAAAUGCUUAGAUAUCACGAAGAACCCCGAUUGCGAAGGCAGCCAACGAGUCCGUAACUGACGCUAAAGCUCGAAGGUGCGGGCAUCGAAC